GGAGCCAAUCCGAGUGGAGGGAAGUGGGGUUUGUUGCCAUGGCGACAGUAGCCGGGCCUAGGCCCCGGCUGGCCGUGGUGAAGCAUGGACCUGAGCCGGGGGCUGGAGAGCCUACCCGUGUCGGUGUGGCCGCCGUCCGAGGAACUCCCGGCCUUCCAGUAUAGUCCAGAGCAUGUGGCGGGAGCAGGAGAAGACACUGACCCUUCUGAAAUCACUUUUCCAGGAUGUAAUUGUCUUACUGCUUCCUGUGUGACCAACACUUGUUCGUGUCUUCGCCAUGGUGAAAACUAUAACAAUUCAUGCAUCAAAUACAUAGGAAGUGAAGUGGACUAUGCUAGGCCUAUUUUUGAAUGCAACGCCAUGUGCCGUUGUGCGAAUAAAACUCAGUUUCCUGAUUUAAUGGGGCAAAGGUUCUUCAUACAUGAGGAGGAUCUGGAAGUGAAAGGUACUGACAUCUGUCUAGAAGAAUCCUAUUGAACAUGACAAUGAAAUCCAGAGGGGAAAAAGCAACUGUACUGAAGACCAACUUAUGUACUGGUAUUACUAUUGGUAGUCUUUUUAAGGAUACCUAUACUCUGAUAUAAUCUAUAUUGGUGGCCACAAACAUUUUCAUUUAAAAUGAAACCACUGGGAUAGAUGAUUCAGCUGCCUGUCAGAAGUUCUUGAUAAUUUCUCUUUAUUCCCCCGUGGAGAGCAGAUGAUGUGCAUCAGCCAUCAAAUGAUGUUAAAGAGAUGCAGCCCCCGUCCUUAAGGGAUCCAAUACGUCAGCUUCCACAAGACAUAGGCUGAAAAUAAAUCUGCUUUUUUAAAAAGGUAACCCUAAAUACAUCAGUGAGAUUGAAACUUUGA